CCUAGAGGAGAGGAGGAGGUUCAGGUGGAAGGGGACGAGUAUUCUGUUUAUUGUAAGGGAGGAAGGAGAGGGAAAAUGGAAGACCGUUACUCUGCUGCCGUUGAUCUUGACGGAUAUCCCAAACAGGCUUUCUUUGGUGUUUAUGAUGGGCAUGGAGGUUCAAAAGCAACUGAAUUCGUGGCAAAGAAUUUAGAUAAGAAGGUAAUGGAGGAGGUGUCGAAAACUGGCGAAGAUGAUG